rnacentral:rRNA from 1 species
UACGAAGGGGGCUAGCGUUGUUCGGAAUUACUGGGCGUAAAGCGCGCGUAGGCGGUGAUCUUUGUCAGAGGUGAAAUCCCGGGGCUCAACUCCGGAAUUGCCUUUGAAACGGGAUCGCUUGAGUACGGGAGAGGCGAGUGGAAUUCCUGGUGUAGCGGUGAAAUGCGCAGAUAUCAGGAGGAACACCGAUUGCGAAGGCAGCUCGCUGGAACGUUACUGACGCUGAGACGCGAAAGCGUGGGGAGCAAACAGG